UCUGGUUCUGGGUCUCUAGCAGUUACUGGUAAGAGUUUGUGUUCCCGAUCUCUUACUGUUUGUGGUAAUAUUCCUAAAAAUGCGUGGAUUCUUGACUCUGGUGCUACUAAUCAUAUGACAUUUGAUUCCACAUUAUUAUGCUCUUAUACCACACCUUCGAGUAUUCCUUAUAUCACUGUUGUUGAUGGCUCUCAUGCUUG
rnacentral:lncRNA from 1 species